UACGGAGGGUGCGAGCGUUAUCCGGAAUCACUGGGCGUAAAGGGCGCGUAGGCGGCCUGAUAAGUCGGGGGUGAAAUCCUGCGGCUUAACCGCAGAGCUGCCUCCUAAACUGUCGGGCUAGAGCACGGUAGAGGCAGAUGGAAUUCCCGGUGUAGCGGUGGAAUGCGUAGAGAUCGGGAAGAACAUCAGUGGCGAAGGCGGUCUGCUGGGCCGUUGCUGACGCUGAGGCGCGACAGCGUGGGGAGCAAACAGG
rnacentral:rRNA from 1 species